CCAGUGUCUUAAGAUAGGUACCAAAACGAAUUCAUUUGGUGGGUACCAUGACAUAUUUGGUUCAUGGGUGGGUACCCAGAUUAUAAGGGGCCUCCACUCAAACCAAAAGUUGGAGGGUGGGGUCUUCACACGCAUUUCGGUAGUUUUGAAGAUGGUAAUUGAUACUCCUUGUGAGAGUAAAAUGUAAUAAUCACAGCUGAAAAAUACGGUGCAUACAUACAUAAUUCCUACCUAUAAAUUGUAUUCAAUUCAACUAGCAUGGAUCAUGAUUUCCAUACCACGAUAAUAUUCGGCCAAAUGAUCAUUGCUUGCACAUGGAUACAAACAAUACUGUGCUUGCUUUGUGCCCCAGUAUUUUAUCUAAAGUUGAUAGGAAGAAUGCUUUUAAUUACUAAAUAUUAAAAUUGUAAAAUGGCAUAGGAUGUAACUGUAACGUAAUAAGCUUUCUCAUGGCUGAAGAGCAUCUAGAGUUUUGUCACAUCAAACAGGAGCAAUUAUUAGCAAAACAACUUCUUCAACUGUAACAACUCGACUGCGGCGACACCGUAUAUAAAUGAUAUAAUAAAGUUACAAUAAUCUUAUCCAUAUCAAAACGCUAACUAACCUAAUCAUUUAUGAUGCAAUGUAAACGCUAUUGCAAUAAGAACCGACCAAACUUAACUUUAACUCAAAUAGGUCACAUGGCUCGAUCCAAUUAGACUCGAAAAGUGACUAUCAGCUGAUUGCUCAUGUGAGCGCACCUCUUUUUUUUAUUUUGCAAACACAAAAUGAAAAACCAGAUAGUUUGAGGCAUAAAACGAAAAAUGAAUGAACCUUUAUUGCUUAAAUAUCCACACUUUUUUCAUCAACUAUUGCAUAACAACAAGAACACAAAAUAUAUAUUAGUUAUACUUUAUGAUAACAAUGCUAGCGUACAUUUUUCUUCAUACUUUUCGGCAUAAUACUUUAAAACGUUUAGCUUAAAAUCAUUUAGUGCAUUUGCGCCCACUUUUGUAUUUUGUAAAUUAA